UCCUGGCAUAAUAUUGACACUGAGAUUCGAAAGCGUGGGUAGCAAACAGGAUUAGAUACCCUGGUAGUCCACGCCGUAAACGAUGUCUACUAGCCGUUGGGGUCCUUGAGACUUUAGUGGCGCAGUUAACGCGAUAAGUAGACCGCCUGGGGAGUACGGCCGCAAGGUUAAAACUCAAAUGAAUUGACGGGGGCCCGCACAAGCGGUGGAGCAUGUGGUUUAAUUCGAUGCAACGCGAAGAACCUUAC
rnacentral:rRNA from 1 species